rnacentral:lncRNA from 1 species
GUCUUGUGGUUGUAAAGUUAUUUAAUUUGUUUUCGUCUUUGUGUUGAUAUCUUUAACUUUUUGCCUGAGAGGAAUUCAGCGAAAACGUUUUUGUGAGAGCUCCGACGGAGACGUUUUCACAGCCUUUAACGUUAAUGUAUUUUUCCCACCCGUGGCCCUACGUAAGGAGAACAAAAAAAAAAAAAAGUUAAAGUGCCACACCCUUGUCAGGCUGUAGAAAAUUUUCAUUUUGAGGUGACCUAACUUAAUUCUUUAAUGCACUACUUCGAAGAUAUGUAUGCUCCCUGCCCUGUUUUUACGAAAAUCUUUUAUAGAAUGUAUUGCUAUGAAAUAUAAUUUUUGUGAUGACUCUUGUCUUUACUAAGGAGAGACAAUCCUGACUGCAAAAAAUGGAUGCUGUCGAUCGAGGGAGGGUCGCAUGGCGGACUCCACUGCCUUGGCCGCUCUCUUCGCCUGUUACUAUGUAUUCAACCUAGAGUAUCAGGUGGAAGCCAGCACAACAUUGGAGUUUGUUCAGAGGGCUCCAACUAGGAUUCUAGGUCUCCAAGGUCAGGGCAUGCAAGAGGCCAUAGACCUUUGUCAAGCGGCAGGGGAAGUUUAUUUUCCUUUCUGUUUUAAAUGUUCAUGCAAAUGUUAAAUAUUAAAUUUUUUAAUGUUCAAUGUUUUAUUUUAUUUCAAUAUUGCCAGAGUGUUAUUUAUUACUCUUUAGAAUGUGGUAAUAAUCAGUUAUUUGCACAGCUUCAAAGUAGUUAAAUUUUUUGACCGUGUUGUAUCAAUUUGCAUUAUUGUUCUGCCAUAGCAACCAGUCAUGUGGAACUAGUGAAUGAACUAGUAACAGUUUGCUCUGUAACUUUACAAAACUUGUAAUGAAAAAGCCUCUUUUGUAAAAAUUUUCUUCAGUCGUAAAUUAAAUUUAGCAACAGUAGAAUAAGUGGAUAAUAGACUUCACGCCAUUAGAAAUUACAAACAUAGAAUGUGUUAACUUUGGAUGGUAUAAUGGCAUGUUGUCCAAUGUCCAUUAUCCCUUUAUGUUGUACCUGUUUUGUCAUUCCUGUUCACCAAAUGUUUUUAAAUAAAUAACUGUUAACAAUUUUCUUAUUGUCUGCAGUUGAUUGCAAUGUUUUAGAAUAUGGGUGAUUCUUUUAAUGAUGGCUAAUAUUAAAUCACAGUGAUACAGUAUUUAAAUUGUACAGUGAGAAACUGAAUUUACAAUGAUUAACAUGCUCGAUAGGUCAAUUUUGAAAACAUCAUGUGGCUUUUAAUUGUACUGUACAGUAACAAGAUUAAAUGGCUCAGACAGGUUGGUUACCAUUGACAUUAUAUGAUUUCAUAACACACAGUUAUGAACUGAAAUCACAUGAAUGUGAAACUGAAUGAUACAGAAUUAUCCGGUGAGAAUUAUCAUCCUAUAAUUCUCAUGGGCAAAAUCCCCUUUCAUCAUAAAGGUGGAGUAUAUUUAUAGGUAGUUCAAUGUUGCCAUCUAGUGGUAUUGUCAGGAACAGGCAUUUAUCAGCAGGUUUAUUAACUAACAUGUGCCUUGGCAAUAUUAUUCCACAGUUAUAAUAGAAGAUACAUUUCCACAUUAGUUGACUGUCAUAUAA